UACAGAGGUCUCAAGCGUUGUUCGGAUUCAUUGGGCGUAAAGGGUGCGUAGGUGGCGCUGUAAGUCAGGUGUGAAAUUUCGGAGCUUAACUCCGAAACUGCAUUGGAUACUGCCUUGCUAGAGUACUGGAGAGGGAACUGGAAUUUACGGUGUAGCAGUGAAAUGCGUAGAGAUCGUAAGGAAGGCCAGUGGCGAAGGCGAGUUCCUGGACAGUUACUGACGCUGAGGCACGAAGGCCAGGGGAGCAAACGGG
rnacentral:rRNA from 1 species